rnacentral:rRNA from 1 species
CAGUCGCCGCGGUAAAACGAAGGGGGCUAGCGUUGUUCGGAUUUACUGGGCGUAAAGGGCGCGUAGGCGGACUGAUAAGUCAGGGGUGAAAUCCCAAGGCUCAACCUUGGAACUGCCUUUGAUACUGUUUGUCUUGAGUUCGAGAGAGGUAAGUGGAACUGCGAGUGUAGAGGUGAAAUUCGUAGAUAUUCGCAAGAACACCAGUGGCGAAGGCGGCUUACUGGCUCGAAACUGACGCUGAGGCGCGAAAGCGUGGGGAGCAAACAGGAUUAGAUACCCCAGUAGUCCCUGUCUCUUAUAC